AUUUGAAAUCUGGCUCUUUCAGAGUCCGAGUUGUAAUUUGUAGAAGAUGCUUCGGGUGUGGUUCCGGUCUAAGUUCCUUGGAACAGGACGUCAUAGAGGGUGAGAAUCCCGUAUGUGACUGGAUACCUAUGCUCAUGUGAAGCUCUUUCGACGAGUCGAGUUGUUUGGGAAUGCAGCUCAAAAUGGGUGGUAUAUUUCAUCUAAAGCUAAAUAUUGGCCAGAGACCGAUAGCGCACAAGUAGAGUGAUCGAAAGAUGAAAAGCACUUUGGAAAGAGAGUUAAACAGUACGUGAAAUUGUUGAAAGGGAAGCGCUUGCAAUCAGACUUGCACUUGGUGUUCAUCAGGGUUUCGUGCCCUGUGUACUUCAUCAAGUUCAGGCCAGCAUCAGUUUGAGUGGUUAGAUAAAGGCUUGGAGAAUGUGGCCCUCUUCGGGGGGUGUUAUAGCUCCAGGUGCAAUGUAGCCUACUUGGACUGAGGACCGCGCUUCGGCUAGGAUGCUGGCGUAAUGGUUGUAAGCGACCCGUCUUGAAACACGGACCAAGGAGUGUACCUAAUAUGCGAGUGUUUGGGUGUUAAACCCAUACGCGUAAUGAAAGUGAACGCUGGUGAGAACCCUUAAGGGUGCAUCAUCGACCGAUCUUGAUGUCUUCGGAUGGAUUUGAGUAAGAGCAUAUUGGGUGCGACCCGAAAGAUGAUGAUCUAUACGUGAAUAGGGUGAAGCCAGAGGAAACUCUGGUGGAGGCUCGCAGCGGUUCUGACGUGCAAAUCGAUCGUCAAAUUUGCGUAUAGGGGCGAAAGACUAAUCGAAUCAUUAAGGAAUAGACCAAGCUCUAGGUGAUUGAGAAACCCCUUUGGGGUAUUAGUCCUGGAGACAGGGCGACAUUGUCAAAUUGUUCGGGGACCACCUGUUAAAUUAUAUGCUACUGCAGCAGUGCUGAAAGGCCUGUGAGCACUGAGGGUAACGCCCUCAGGGAUGGUAAUAACGCAUAUAUAGGGUAUAUCCGCAGCGAAGUUCUAAGGCUUUCGAGCUAUGAAUCGCGUUCACAGACUAGACGGCAUAUGGGCUCCU
rnacentral:rRNA from 1 species